GACGAACGCUGGCGGCGUGCUUCACACAUGCAAGUCGAACGGAGUGGCGAACGGGUGAGUAACACGUGGGUGACCUGCCCUGCACUUCGGGCUAAGCCUGGGAAACUGGGUCUAAUACCGGAUAGUGUGGGAUGGGCCCUCGGCCUAUCAGCUUGUUGGUGGGGGAAUGGCCUACCAAGGCGGCGACGGGUAGCCGGCCUGAGAGGGUGGACGGCCAAAUUGGGACUGAGACACGGCCCAGACUCCUACGGGAGGCAGCAGUGGGGAAUCGUCCGCAAUGGAAGAAAGUCUGACGGAGCAACGCCGCGGGAGUGAUGACGGCCUUCGGGGUGUAAAGCGCUGUUAAUCGGGACGCGGUAACGGAAUAGAAAGCCACGGCUAACUACGUGCCAGCCGCCGCGGUAAUAC
rnacentral:rRNA from 1 species